UUACUGUUCUCAACCCUAUGCUGUUUGGCUCAAUUUGGACAAUCGAUUUUCUCAAAGCUAUCACCCGCAUCUAUAUUGCUUCCAACGUGAUUUGGUUAAUCUCAAAUAGAACACCAUGUCUAUUACACUGUAUUACAAUACUAUCAAAGGAUUGUGGGAUGAACUCCCCCCGCUUACCAAUCCUAGAUCCUGUAAAUAUGGUGCUCAUAAAAAGGCAGAAGAGACAGUCAACUCCGAAAUGCUCUUUCAACUUCUCAUGGGCCUUAAUGAUUCCUUCUUCAACAUCCGUUGCCAAAUCCUCUCUAUGGAUCCUCUUCCCAUUAUUGCCAGAUCUUUUGCCACUAUACAUCAAGAAGAAACGUAACGCCUCCCGCAAAUGCCUUUACUGCCCACUCUCGACAUUUGUCAUGGAUAUUGCUAGUGCUCAUUCUCCGACCACUCAUGGCUUCCGUCUUUGCAAUGGUAAGAAGUGCACCAAAUGCAGGAAAGACUGUCUUGGUCAUUAGAACACCAAUAAAUCCAAUUAGCCUCUACACUCACAUAUCUCGGCCAGUACCCAGUCACCCGCAGCGAAUAUGGUAUCUGCCACUCAAGCUUCUCCCAUCUCGACUGUAAUCCCUGGCAUCUCUAAUGAGCGCUGCCAACAAUUGAUGGAACUCCAUGCCAACGCCUUCUCCACUUUCUUUGGUAUUCACUUCUGUGUCUCAUUCUGAUGUACAGCAGAGGAUCCAGUAUCCAGCCGGCACGGCCGCUUGUGCUGACUCUCUCAGGAUUUACAGGUUAGUAAACCGCUCGUCGCUCGAGCCGCCGGUGAGCGAUUUGCCCAAUUUUAUUUAUUUAUUUAUUUUUUAAAUAAUGGGCCUUUAGUUUUAGGCCAUUUUUUUUAGGAUUUUAAACAUUUGUCUGGUCUGUAUGACUAUACGUAUAUAACUGUUACCCCAAUUGAAUUCCAAAUGCAAAACACGGCAAUUGCAAAGCAAACCCUAUCUCUUGUAUCUCCUCCCUACAGUCCCGCCUUAGCCAACUGUGGUCCAACCGUGAUUGUCAACCUUUAGUGACUGUGAGCCUCCGUCGAACCCUCCGUUGAACCGCCACUGUUUGCCGCUGGCGUCUGUGACACGGUGACUUUGUAGACAAACAUUAGAUUAUUCAGCAGUUGAACGUUUACAAUGCUUUCGUCCAUGGUGACCUUGAUGAAGAAGUAUAUAUGCAACUCCACCAAGAUAUCAAGAUAUUGUUGUUAAGGGAGAGAUGCGUGUAUGUCGUAUCCACAAAUCUCUAUGUGGCCUUAAACAAACCUCUCACCAAUGUUACUUGAAACCAUCUUAUGGUCCUCACUCUUGCAGGUUCUGGCCAAUCCUUAGCUGAUCAUAGUCUUGUCAUCAAAAUCUAGAGCAAGGUAUUUAUUAUCAUCCUUAUCUAUGUUGACAUUUUGGUUUCUGGGAAUGACCUAUCUGCCAUCAAUUCCAUCAAACAACACUUGUAAAGGCCUUCAAGAUUAAAGACCUUGCUGACCUCAAGUAUUUUCUUGGGAUUGAGGUUGCUAGGUUUCCUACCGACAACUUUUUUAUUGGGCAGUCUCUUUGAUUCUGGUCAACUAGGCUAUCAUUUUGCAUACUUUCCCAUGGAAUAACACUGUAAACUUAAUAACUUGGAUGGUGACUUCAUGGAAGGAAGAUCCCAGCUCAUAUCGACGAUUAGUUAGGGUUUGAUCUAUUUAACCAUUUUCCAGCCACAUAUAACCUUUGUUGUCAAUAUUUUAAGUCAGUUCGUGCAUGCUCCUUAUGAGCCUCAUCAUCUAGCUGCUCUUUGUAUGCUUUGCUAUUUGAAGACCACUUCUGGUUAUGGUCUUCUCUUUUUAUCUAAAUGCAGUUGUCUUGGCGCUCAUAGAAGAAAGCUACUAUCCCUGCUCUUCGGAUGAAGCUGAAAAGUGUGCGAUGGACGCUACCACUUGGGAACUUUUUUAGGUUCCUCUUCUCUUGCAAGCUCUCAUGGUUCUCCAUCGUUAGCCUAUCUUCUUCAAUGUAUCAACCAGACAGCCAUUCACAUAGCUCGAAAUCCAUCUUUUCAUGAACAAACCAUACAUGGAAUUCUAUUGUCAUCUCGUCUUACGAGAAGAUUCAUUAUGGUCCACUUACUCCUUAUAUCUCAACCUCUGAAAGACAAGCGGAUAUUUUUACUAAACCCUUGGGACAUGAAUUGUUUUACCUUUUCCACUCCAAUUUGGGCAUUAUGGACCUUCAUAUUCCAACUUGAAAGAGUGUAUCACGAGUCACAUGCCUAAACUCUAGCACAAGAUUAGCACAAAUCACGUUCACUGCACGAAUUAAGCAAACUUUCUCCAUGGACAGUUUAAUUUCCUUACGUGCUUUACUUACCAUGUGUUGCUCAAAGUUUCUAUCUACAAAUGUGUACACAAUCCUCGUCAAUCUUACACUGGUGAAUAAUGAAAUAAUGCAUUUCCUCUGCAUUUCUCUGAAUCAAUUUUAAUAUUAAUAAGGGGCAAUGCUAUUGAAUAUGUUCAUUUGAGAGUCAAGGUGGGACUGUGGACAUUAGUCAUGAGUGAAAAGCGCCCUCUGUGAGAGAUGAUUUGAUUUAUGUGUUUUUUGUGUCUAAGGUUCAUGCUUUGUUCCUUAAACUAAGCAUAACUAAGGUUAAAAAACUUGUGAGAAAUUAGCUGUUUUCCUAUCCAAAUUUGUAUUAUCAAGGACAUACUCCUCUUUGAUAUAUCUUAAACUUUAAAAUAAUGUUGUUUAAAAUGGUACUAUGUCAUGUAAAUGUCUUAAGUUGAAGUAUUUAGGCACCCAUGAAAUUUGCGCGUGCGUGCAUGCCUCGUACAUUCGACAAGAUACUCAUUCCAGCUUGCACUUGAUUGGAUUGGUUAAAAAAUCCUUUGGUCUACUGUUCAUUCAGAUAUCAUCUCUCACAGUACCAUUGGUUGUUUCUAAUUCUUAAACAACACAUAGACCUACUGAAGUUUCAAACUUGACCAUCUCACAGCAAUAAAUGGAAUGUGAAAUCUCUAUGUAAGAAUCUUCAAGUAGUAUUCAACAUCUACGACUACACAUUAAUUUAUGAUACCUAAUAGCUUAAAUGGCUGAGGAUUAUAUAUUCUAACGUUCCAAAGUGGCACUAAGAAGUUCUUCAUACUUGUACACACAUAAAUAAAGUCCCUAUAAUUCUUGUUGGCACCUGAAAUAAUAAAGUAGAAACAAUAAAGUCAUACUAUUGAGCUCCGUAUUGGGUACCAAAGGCGCAUUCAAUCAUAAUGCUGAGUUCUUUAUCAGGUACCCAACAAGCAUUCUAUGUAUAAAAUGUAUUAGAUUUUGAUUUCUUUUUCCCCUAGUUUAAUUAGUUGAAAACAUGGUUUCUUCUCGUUUUGUUCUUCUGCAUGAUGCAAUAAAUUUGUUGUUCGUGUUUAUACUGUAUCUACUUCAAUUAUAACAAGGAAAUAAAGAUGAAUAAGACUUCGACAUCGAAUUAAUGCAGUCAAUUUGAAAUAGUACCGUAUGAGUUCAAAUAUUGCAAACAAGAUUGUCGCCAGCUCAUUAAAUGUAGAUUUAUGUUUGAUUGUAAUUACUCCAUGAGGCUAAAUCCAUAAUGCAGGUAGUCCCGUUUUAUUUAAUAUCUUAUUGAUUAAUUAUUAAUAUUAAUAAUUAAUUAGUCUUUUGUCAUUUUUUUUAUGUUUAGUAGGGGUUUUAUUCGGCUUAAGAAUUUAAUCAAACUAGUAAGUUUUCUAGAGUUUGUUUUGCUUAAAAGGCUAGUCGUAGUUUUAUAUAAAUUUUGUUUUAUAUUUGUGUUGUAGGAUGAUUGAUUUUGGAUGUGAACAGAAAGUUUGAGAUUUUUCUUCAAUUAUCCACCUAAAUGGUUAAUUCAUGCGUGUAUUUUCUUUUAUAAUCCCCCUAUUUGGUAUAGUUUACACUUCUGCCUAAAUGAGUUUGUAUCAUAGCCCACGUUAUGCAGCUAACAACUGAUCAAGGAGGACAAGUUACAAGUCAUGGUUGAUAAUUGGAAUCUUAGAAAUGAAACUAAUACAAAUCAACGUCUUGAGGUCUUGGCAAAAAAGUGGCUAGAUUGACUAUCCCGCCACAAGAGAUGGUGGGUAACCUUUACGGCCAUGGACUAGCAGCACGAAGUGGCGGUCGCAAGUGCAUGAGGGUGGGGCAAUUGUGGGUCUAGUUGCGAGCCUAAUUAUGGAUAGAGUUGUAAAUGGAAAGCUCGAAGGGAGAGAGUUCCGGCAAUUGAGGAGCCGAUGUUGGUUAUGGGAUUGGUGAGCAACAUCGAGAGGACUGGGAAUUCAGAUUGUUGAACGAUGUUAAGAUGAAGUCCAACACAAAUUUAUCGUUCUUCGAGGAAACUAAUAUCAGGAUUCUCGAGAAGAAGUUUGAGAUACUUGACUUCGAUCAAUAUACUGACUUUGAAUAUCAAUUUUCAAUGAAAAUAAUAGCUAUGGCAUGCUCAGAGAUGCUUGAGGAUAAGACUCGUGAGUUAAGGUAAAUUAAAGAUUUUUUGUUACAUAUAUUGCAGUG